UACGGGGGGGGCAAGCGUUAUUCGGAAUUACUGGGCGUAAAGGGUACGUAGGCGGAUUAUAAAGUUAAAAUAGAAGACCAAAGCUUAACUUUGGUAAUAUUUUAAUACUUAUAGAUCUAGAGUAUGAUAGAGGAUAGUAGAAUUUUUAAUGUAACAAUGAAAUGUGAAAAUAUUAAAAGGAAUACCUAUGGCGAAGGCAACUAUCUGGAUCAUAACUGACGCUGAGGUACGAAAGUUUGGGGAGCAAACAGG
rnacentral:rRNA from 1 species